CAGUGGGGAAUUUUGGACAAUGGGGGCAACCCUGAUCCAGCAAUGCCGCGUGAGUGAAGAAGGCCUUCGGGUUGUAAAGCUCUUUUGUCAGGGAAGAAACGGUUGGGGCUAAUACCCUCGGCUAAUGACGGUACCUGAAGAAUAAGCACCGGCUAACUACGUGCCAGCAGCCGCGGUAAUACGUAGGGUGCAAGCGUUAAUCGGAAUUACUGGGCGUAAAGCGUGCGCAGGCGGUUUUGUAAGACUGUCGUGAAAUCCCCGGGCUUAACCUGGGAAUGGCGAUGGUGACUGCAAGGCUAGAGUUUGGCAGAGGGGGGUAGAAUUCCACGUGUAGCAGUGAAAUGCGUAGAGAUGUGGAGGAACACCGAUGGCGAAGGCAGCCCCCUGGGUCAAAACUGACGCUCAUGCACGAAAGCGUGGGGAGCAAACAGGAUUAGA
rnacentral:rRNA from 1 species